UUAAUGACUCUCGGCAACGGAUAUCUCGGCUCUCGCAUCGAUGAAGAACGUAGCGAAAUGCGAUACUUGGUGUGAAUUGCAGAAUCCCGUGAACCAUCGAGUCUUUGAACGCAAGUUGCGCCCGAAGCCAUCUGGUUGAGGGCACGUCUGCCUGGGCGUCACGU
rnacentral:rRNA from 1 species